rnacentral:rRNA from 1 species
ACUCCCUACGGGGCGCAGCAGUGGGGGAUAUCGCACAAUGGGGGGAACCCUGAUGCAGCGACGCCGCGUGGGUGAAGAAGCGCCUCGGCGCGUAAAGCCCUGUCAGCAGGGAAGAAAAUGACGGUACCUGAAGAAGAAGCCCCGGCUAACUACGUGCCAGCAGCCGCGGUAAUACGUAGGGGGCAAGCGUUAUCCGGAUUUACUGGGUGUAAAGGGGGUGUAGACGGCGAUGCAAGCCAGGAGUGAAA